GUGCUCGCUUCAGGAGCACACAUACUAAAAUUGGAACUGUACAGAGAAGAUUAGCAUGGCCCCUGUGCAAGGAUGACACGCAAAUUCAUGAAGUGUUCCAUAUUAAA
rnacentral:snRNA from 1 species